ensembl:lncRNA
CACUGGUUACCAGUUCCUUGUAUAAACAUAAAUGCGUGUGCCAGAGCUUGACACAUGCUGGCUUUCUUUAUGAUACUCAGUUUAACCAUGGGAGAACAGCAAAGUUCUUGAAAACUGGUGCCCCAUAAUUCACUGGUCUUCAGAGAAAAAACUGAGCCCUGAGAAACGGGAGAAAAAUGUUUUAGCUUAAAGAAAAAAGCAGCAGCUAAGAAAAUAGGGCUGAAGAAAGGCAGCAGCUGAGCAGCAGGAUAAGGCACCUUUCCAGUCUGGGAAACAACCCCCUACCACCACCACCGAGCACCACCCAGUGUGUAGUCAGAUAUCCCUUGUAAAGGGAUAAGAUCCCAAAUCGGAAUAGGCAGGUGGAAGAAAGGAGGUGUCCACUUAAUUUUCAGCUUAUCCCUUCAAAACUCUAUUAGCCCUGAUCACCUGGGUAGCUGAGACCAUGGGCAGCUGCAGCCACCAGUGCUGAUUGCAUGGUCUCAUCACCUUGGAGGAAAUAUUUAGGGUUAUCUUGAGUUUUUCAGUGUUCUCAUUCUCUAGGAGCCAGGCCCUGCAGAUUCUGCUUAACAUUAAUGCAAUUUCUUGUCAGUUCAGGAAAAAAGAGCUCUGCAGGAAGAGACAUGGACCUGGGCAAGAGAAGACACUAGCAAAACCUCCUGGAGCUGUUGUUGGUUUGCUGGGAGAGAUGAGCACAGGUGACAGAGAGGAGCCUCCAAAGAUGAUGUACCCCCUAAAGUUUCAUGAAGACAGUUGUGCUGUGUUAAAGAAAGUCUUACCAUUCCAGCCUGUGACUGAAUACCCAAGUAUGAUUUCAAUCCCAGAGAAGAAGCCAGAUAUUACAGACAGAUGUUAAGGAGUGGCCACCCACAGAAGUAUUUUUUCUUCUUCUAUCCUUAAUUUUCAUUCACAUGUCCUUCUUAUCUAGAUUUUGAGUCCCAUGAGACACCUGACUGUUGUUUUAUCUUUAGACCACAGCAUUGCUGGGAACCUCAGUCUGCCCAGAUCUUCCCUGUGAUGAAUCUCAUAACCAAACUAUGUUCACCUCACCCAAGAAGUAAGAGUAAAAUUUCACUAAAAAAUAACAUUAUUUAUAGAAAACACAGCACAAGAAACAAACACACCAAAACCUUGGGGUGACAAACAGAAUUUUAAGUAUUCAUGAGUGAGACUGUAUCCCAAAUUCAUUUCACAGAUGUGGCAAUUGUGUCCAAAUAAUUUAGCACACCUUGAAAGCCUGGUGACCUGCCUGCUCCAUGACUUCAUCCACAGUGCUCAGUGUUGUGCUAUUGUAAAAACUGUGUGAAAAUCAAAAUGAUAAGUCUGUCCCUACAAGAAUUAAACAGCCAUCCUUGGAGGUAAUUGAAGAGCUGGUGUGGGCAUUCUGCAUAGCCUUCACAGAUCUAGGAAAUGGGUUAGUGCUAUAGUGUUGUAAGGAUGAUUUUGAAAAACAAAACAGAUUAAUUGAAAGAUAAGGAAGUGAUAGAUUAAGAAGAGAAAUUCACCCUUAUAAUAAUUUUAUUAUUUUCCUGUUCAUUAGGUACAAAUUUGAACACUGACUAAUAAAUCAUACUGCUGUUAAGCCA